rnacentral:rRNA from 1 species
GAUGAACGCUGCCGGCGUGCUUAACACAUGCAAGUCGAACGAGAAGUGAAGACGGAAACCUUCGGGCGGAAGGCUUUAUUUCGAGUGGCGGACGGGUGAGUAACGCGUGGGUAACCUGCCUCAUACAGGGGGAUAACAGUUGGAAACGACUGUUAAUACCGCAUAAGACCACAGCACCGCAUGGUGCGGGGGUAAAAACUCCGGUGGUAUGAGAUGGACCCGCGUUCGAUUAGCCAGUUGGCGGGGUAACGGCCCACCAAAGCGACGAUCGAUAGCCGAUCUGAGAGGAUGACCGGCCACAUUGGGACUGAGACACGGCCCAAACUCCUACGGGAGGCAGCAGUGGGGAAUAUUGCACAAUGGGGGAAACCCUGAUGCAGCGACGCCGCGUGAGUGAAGAAGUAUUUCGGUAUGUAAAGCUCUAUCAGCAGGGAAGAAAAUGACGGUACCUGAGUAAGAAGCCCCGGCUAACUACGUG